rnacentral:rRNA from 1 species
UACGGAGGGUGCAAACGUUGCUCGGAAUCAUUGGGCGUAAAGAGCUCGUAGGCGGUUUGUCGCGUCUGCUGUGAAAACUCGGGGCUUAACCCCGGGCCUGCAGUGGGUACGGGGCAGACUAGAGUGCGGUAGGGGAGACUGGAAUUCCUGGUGUAGCGGUGAAAUGCGCAGAUAUCAGGAGGAACACCGGUGGCGAAGGCGGGUCUCUGGGCCGUAACUGACGCUGAGGAGCGAAAGCGUGGGGAGCGAACAGG